AACGUGAUACCGUUACAGUUUCCCGGCAAAAACGAACCAACUCUUCCCCUGCCAGUCCCCACCAAAAAUCAACAUUUACCUCCAACAAAUCUGAAAAUUCUGAAAAUACAAAUUAAUAAAACCCCCAAAAUAUUAAAUUGAAAAUUUUACAUCCCUUCAUAUUUAUAUCGAACCCAACUCUGAUUCUACCACAACAAUAAACCUCCCACCAUUCUCACCACACACCUCACUUCUAACUCUCCAUUCUCCAUUUUCACUCCGGCCACCGGAGCCACCGCCACCGUCAGAGUCAACGUCUUCUACACAUACAAAAAAUAAAUGGCGAACAGGUGAUGAACAAAAGUACAAAACCCAUCAUCCACGGCGACACAAACCCGUCCCACCAACCAUGUCGGCGCUAUC
rnacentral:lncRNA from 1 species